GACGAACGCUGGCGGCGUGCUUAACACAUGCAAGUCGAACGGAGUGGCGAACGGGUGAGUAACACGUGGGUGAUCUGCCUUGCACUUAGGGAUCAGCUUGGGGAACUGGGUCUAAUACCGGAUAGUGCAAGAUGAGCUCGCGGCCUAGCAGCUUGUGGGUGGGGUAAUGGCCUACCAAGGCGGCGACGGGUAGCCGGCCUGAGAGGGUGUACGGCCACAUUGGGACGGAGAUACGGCCCAGAGUCCUACGGGAGGCAGCAGGGGGGAAUAUUGCACAAGGGGCGGAAGCCUGAUGCAGCGACGCCGCGUGGGGGAUGAAGGCCUUCGGGUUGUAAACGCCUUUCGACAGGGACGCGGUACCUGUAUAAGAAGCACCGGCUAACUACGUGCCAGCAGCCGCGGUAAUAC
rnacentral:rRNA from 1 species